AGGACGAACGCUGGCGGCGUGCUUAACACAUGCAAGUCGAGCGGAAAGGCCCUUCGGGGUACUCGAGCGGCGAACGGGUGAGUAACACGUGAGUAAUCUGCCCCUAGCUCUGGGAUAGCUCCGGGAAACCGGGAUUAAUACCGGAUACGACCACCUUAGACAUCUUUUGUGGUGGAAAGAAUUUCGGCUAGGGAUGAGCUCGCGGCCUAUCAGCUUGUUGGUGGGGUAACGGCCUACCAAGGCGACGACGGGUAGCCGGCCUGAGAGGGCGACCGGCCACACUGGGACUGAGACACGGCCCAGACUCCUACGGGAGGCAGCAGUGGGGAAUAUUGCGCAAUGGGCGAAAGCCUGACGCAGCGACGCCGCGUGGGGGAUGAAGGCCUUCGGGUUGUAAACCCCUUUCAGCAGGGACGAAGCGAAGUGACGGUACCUGCAGAAGAAGCGCCGGCUAACUACGCGCCACGCAGCCGC
rnacentral:rRNA from 1 species